GAUAUGCCAGCCGUAAAAAUGGAAUUGGCCUGUUGAUUGUCCUUUUCGAGUUUUGAAAACGCAUUUCCUUUCACACGAUCCUCACCCUGCGGCAAUGAUUCCACUAUUCUAGCUUCUGGGCUGUCUCGAUCCCGAACUAGCAGGGACAUCGCCGUCAAUGUUUUUAACAUAUUCUUUGGCUCUGCUCCAGCUGAAGACGUGUGUAUUCAUACCGUCAGCAGCUGUUACGGCCUUGAUGAUUCCCAGCCCCGAAUUUGCCAUCUUGCUCUGUUAUAUGUUCUGUGGUGCCUCUGGCUGAUCCCGUUCUGCUUGACCUGAUCUAAAAUAUCUGGAACAAAGUGCACCUGGGGUUUAGUCACUAUGUCACUCGCCUUGAGCU
rnacentral:sRNA from 1 species